CUAAGCACACUGUUGGUUAUGUGUGCCCAAGCAUUGAGGCAGUCAAAGUAGGCAAAUCCGCUUUGAUAAUGCUGGGAUGUGAUGGGGAGCGAAAUUUAGUAGCGAAGUAGCUGAUUUCACACUGUCAAGAAAAGUCUCUAUCGAGGUUAAAGGUACCCGUACCGCAAACCGACACAGGUGGGUGAGGAGAGUAUCCUAAGGCCAGCGAGAGAACUGUUGUUAAGGAACUCGGCAAAAUGACCCCGUAACUU
rnacentral:rRNA from 1 species